rnacentral:lncRNA from 1 species
UUUCUCUCUUUCUCUUCAGCAUCCAACCUCCAAGGCCCUUCAAGUCCAAAAACAACUAGCCCCCCAGGCCAGACGCUUCCUCCUCAAACAAAGCCAGACACAGAGAGUGAGAAGAGAGCUCUCACACCUCAGGCUCCACAGAAGCCAGAGACAACUGUACCUCCAACCCAGACAUUUGCUCCACAACCAGAGCAAACCAUCCACAGCCACAAAGGCGCCCAUACACAUCGAGUUCCUCUGAUAUCAGAGACAACUGUGCCACCAGCCAAGACGCUUCCUGCACAACCAGAGCAAACUACAGAAAGUCAUAAAGGAGGUAAGAACUGAAAACAAAAGGGAAAGGGAUGG